rnacentral:rRNA from 1 species
UACGUAGGGAGCAAGCGUUAUCCGGAAUUAUUGGGUGUAAAGGGUGCGUAGACGGGAUAACAAGUUAGUUGUGAAACCCCUCGGCUCAACUGAGGAACUGCAACUAAAACUAUUAUUCUUGAGUGCAGGAGAGGAAAGUGGAAUUCCUAGUGUAGCGGUGAAAUGCGUAGAUAUUAGGAAGAACACCGGUGGCGAAGGCGACUUUCUGGACUGUAACUGACGUUGAGGCACGAAAGUGUGGGGAGCAAACAGG